rnacentral:tRNA from 1 species
CAGGGAGACAACAAAAUGUUUAAUAUUAUUAUUUUGUCACCUUAGGUCGAUCGGUAUCUCACGUUUUUAAUUUAUUAAGAAUUUCAUUUCCUAAGUUUUUCUAGGUCACACCCAUUAUUUUUCCUGGGCCAUUAGCUCAGGUGGUUAGAGCGCACCCCUGAUAAGGGUGAGGUCCCUGGUUCAAGUCCAGGAUGGCCCAUAUCUCUAUGUUGGGGGUAUAGCUCAGUUGGUAGAGCGCCUGCUUUGCAAGCAGGAUGUCAGCGGUUCGAGUCCGCUUACCUCCACUGAUUACCACCUCUCUCAUAACCGGUAGAAAGGAAAUGUUUUGAGUUGUGAUCAAAUUCUGAAAGAAUCUAGCUUCCUAAUGAAAUCAUUAAGAUGCUGGACUCAUUGAAUUAAUUUCAUUGUCUUCAGAGAACCUUGACAACUGCAUAGAUUAUUUUUAAAGACAAUAAGCAUCUUUAAUGAUGCAGAUUUAUUAUUUGUGCGAAUGCAUUAAUAACAAUUCUAUUAAGCUGAUGCUUCAAUUUUUGAAGUUAUU